rnacentral:rRNA from 2 species
CUGCGAGUGAAGCGGGAAAAGCUCAAAUUUAAAAUCUGUCAGUCUUAGACUGUCCGAGUUGUAAUCUAGAGAAGUGUUAUCCGCGCUGGACCGUGUACAAGUCUCCUGGAAUGGAGCAUCAUAGAGGGUGAGAAUCCCGUCUUUGACACGGACUGCCAGGGCUCUGUGAUGCGCUCUCAAAGAGUCGAGUUGUUUGGGAAUGCAGCUCAAAAUGGGUGGUAAAUUCCAUCUAAAGCUAAAUAUUGGCGAGAGACCGAUAGCGAACAAGUACCGUGAGGGAAAGAUGAAAAGAACUUUGGAAAGAGAGUUAAACAGUACGUGAAAUUGCUGAAAGGGAAACGCUUGAAGUCAGUCGCGUUGUCCAGGGAUCAACCUUGCUUCUGCUUGGUGUACUUUCUGGUUAACGGGUCAGCAUCAAUUUUGACUAUUGGAAAAAGGUUGAGGGAAUGUGACAUCUUCGGAUGUGUUAUAGCCCUUGGUUGCAUACAAUGGUUGGGAUUGAGGAACUCAGCACGCCGCAAGGCCGGGUAUUAACCACGUACGUGCUUAGGAUGCUGGCAUAAUGGCUUUAAUCGACCCGUCUUGAAACACGGACCAAGGAGUCUAACAUGCCUGCGAGUGUUUGGGUGGAAAACCCGAGCGCGUAAUGAAAGUGAAAGUUGAGAUCCCUGUCGUGGGGAGCAUCGACGCCCGGACCAGACCUUUUGUGACGGUUCCGCGGUAGAGCAUGUAUGUUGGGACCCGAAAGAUGGUGAACUAUGCCUGAAUAGGGUGAAGCCAGAGGAAACUCUGGUGGAGGCUCGUAGCGAUUCUGACGUGCAAAUCGAUCGUCAAAUUUGGGUAUAGGGGCGAAAGACUAAUCGAACCAUCUAGUAGCUGGUUCC